rnacentral:rRNA from 1 species
AGUUUGAUCCUGGCUCAGGACGAACGCUGGCGGCGUGCUUAACACAUGCAAGUCGAGCGGUAAGGCCUUUCGGGGUACACGAGCGGCGAACGGGUGAGUAACACGUGGGUGAUCUGCCCUGCACUUCGGGAUAAGCCUGGGAAACUGGGUCUAAUACCGGAUAUGACCUCCUAUCGCAUGGUGGGUGGUGGAAAGAUUUAUCGGUGCAGGAUGGGCCCGCGGCCUAUCAGCUUGUUGGUGGGGUAAUGGCCUACCAAGGCGACGACGGGUAGCCGACCUGAGAGGGUGACCGGCCACACUGGGACUGAGACACGGCCCAGACUCCUACGGGAGGCAGCAGUGGGGAAUAUUGCACAAUGGGCGAAAGCCUGAUGCAGCGACGCCGCGUGAGGGAUGACGGCCUUCGGGUUGUAAACCUCUUUCAGCAGGGACGAAGCGCAAGUGACGGUACCUGCAGAAGAAGCACCGGCUAACUACGUGCCAGCAGCCGCGGUAAU